UGCCAGCCGCCGCGGUAAUACGGAGGAUGCGAGCGUUAUCCGGAUUUACUGGGUGUAAAGGGAGCGCAGACGGCACUGCAAGUCUGAAGUGAAAGCCCGGGGCUCAACCCCGGGACUGCUUUGGAAACUGUAGAGCUAGAGUGCUGGAGAGGCAAGCGGAAUUCCUAGUGUAGCGGUGAAAUGCGUAGAUAUUAGGAAGAACACCAGUGGCGAGGGCGGCUUGCUGGACAGUAACUGACGUUCAGGCUCGAAAGCGUGGGGAGCAAACAGGAUUAGAUA
rnacentral:rRNA from 1 species